AUCGUCUGUUCUUGUCUGUGAAGUCAAAGAAGAAGACAAACUCAAGGAAACGAUGGCAGCCUCAAGGUCACAGGUCUGGAGGAAUCAACCUACACACUCCCCUGAGCACAGUCUACAUAAAUCAGCACUCUGAGAGCUGCCGCAAGACCCCGAAAAUAUGAAGGCAUGGUAUCUGUCAUUGUGGAAUGUCCAACUGACCCGAGAAGUCAAGGCCAGCAUCAAAUUACAGCGAACUCACAAUGCCGGGCAUGCAGAAGUGUUCAUAGGGGGAAACUGAGGCACCCAGAAGCAAAGCACCUGGCCCAAGGCCACAGAAAGGAUACGCUCUCCGAAUCACGGGCCUUCUCUGACUUUUAAUUGUAUGCUGGAAAGGUCUCACGCCUGGGGAAAAAGAAGUUUCUAGAAGGAACCACACCUCCAGAAAAGGGAUUGAGGGAGGAAAGCCAGGCCUCUGCUUUCCAUAGCACCUUGCUACAAAUAAUCAGAAUUUUACUUUUCUGUAGUAUUUUCCUUCCUCAUUAAACUUUUUAAAAGCAUGCUGACUUGGGGGAAAUACUGAAGCAUUUUAAUGAUGUAUGAAAUAAAAAAAAUAAUAAAACCUUCUGCCCACCCAGAGAGAAUACAAGUCUGGGAUCGGACUCGGGCUUUCCUUUUUCGCUCUCGCUUGCAGCCGCUCCAUUUCGGUGCCAUGUAGCUCAGCUGCAGCCCGCAACGUUUUUUUAAAGGAAAGAAAAUGAACGUCGAAACUUAGCAGGCUCAGCCAAAAGAGUGGAACCCGGUCUUCACUGCCCUUUUGCAAAUCCCCUUCUCACUUCCAUUUCCCUGAACUUUUCUCAGAGCUCUCAGCCCCACCGCAACAGCUCAGCUGGCUUUUUCUUGUAUUUUGUCUAAUUUUCUCUCGUCUUCCCUUGGGUUUCCGAAUCUUUGCUUGAGCAGGAAAGGUGACUGGUUGGGUAUGAGUGUUGGCACUUUCUAAGUCUCCCUCUCUCCCAUACAGUUCCCGUGCUCGUUAAUUCAAGGACUGAGACACACUGAGAAGACCCAAGUGUUAUCAUGCGACAGAGGUGCACUGGUUCCUUUCGAGCCCAUCAUAAAGGCCUUCGUGGGCUCCUGGGGGCCUCUUUCUGCCCUGUCCUUCCAGGGGAGAGCGGGACGCUUCACCAGUGCCUUUUCUCUUCUUUCAGUGGCACACUGAUGACUGAUGGGGGGCGACUGGGGGGCUGCAGGUGAAAAGGAGUGGAGCGGCUCCCCGCGCCCCACCCCUGCGUGGUGGGAGACCCCCCUGCCCCUGCCCCAGAUCCUGCCUUGAUGCCACACUCCCAGCGUCACCUGGUCUUGCUGUGAAACCACAUCAGCACCACGUGUAGGUCUGUCCGCCAGUGUUUUGCUCUUCUCUGUGGGUUCAUGUGAAAUUUGUCUCAAGGAGCUUUUAAAUCCCUCACAUGGUUUAAAAGACAUAUAUAAACAUUUUUGAAAACAGACAAAGUUAAACUUUAGUUUAGUGAUUAGGGACACCCAUUUGGAUGAUAAAAACUGUAAAGAAAAGCUCAGAAAUGAUUACCAUACAAGCCAGAAUAAUGGUUACUUUUUAGGAUGUGGAAGGGGCUGUGGAAGGAGCUUGAGGAGGGCGUCCAGGGUGACCUGCAAAGUUCUCUUUUUUAACCCAGGUGUAGUUACAAGAGUGUUCACAUUUUAAAUCAUUUAUCACGAAGUUAUACAUUUUUAAGCAGUGUCCUAUACCUCUUCUAUAAGUUACAAUUUUUUUUAAGUUUAAAAAAGAAUGUAGGAUUAUAUGGACCUCCUUAACUAUGUGUGGGGUUAUGGUAGUGCCCCAUGAAAAUUGACGGGGUUUUUUUCCUUUGGUUUUAAUAAAAUUAUUUCUAUUUCCUCUACUUAA
ensembl:lncRNA